GAUGAACGCUAGCGGGAGGCCUAACACAUGCAAGCCGAGCGGUAGAGAUUCUUCGGAAUCUUGAGAGCGGCGUACGGGUGCGGAACACGUGUGCAACCUGCCUUUAUCAGGGGGAUAGCCUUUCGAAAGGAAGAUUAAUACCCCAUAAUAUAUUUGAUGGCAUCAUUAGAUAUUGAAAGCUUUGGCGGAUAGAGAUGGGCACGCGCAAGAUUAGACAGUUGGUGAGGUAACGGCUCACCAAGUCGAUGAUCUUUAGGGGGCCUGAGAGGGUGAUCCCCCACACUGGUACUGAGACACGGACCAGACUCCUACGGGAGGCAGCAGUGAGGAAUAUUGGACAAUGGGUUAGCGCCUGAUCCAGCCAUCCCGCGUGAAGGACGACGGCCCUAUGGGUUGUAAACUUCUUUUGUACAGGGAUAAACCUACUCUCGUGAGAGUAGCUGAAGGUACUGUACGAAUAAGCACCGGCUAACUCCGUG
rnacentral:rRNA from 1 species